GAUGAACGCUGGCGGCGUGCCUAAUACAUGCAAGUCGAGCGAACGGACGAUAAGCUUGCUUCUCUGAUGUUAGCGGCUGACGGGCGAGUAACACGUGGAUCACCUACCUAUAAUACUUGGAUAACUUCGUGAAACCGUAUCUAAUACCGGCUAAUAUUUUCAACCGCAUGGUUCAAAAGUUAAUGACGGUUUUGCUGUUACUUUUAGAUGUAUUCGUGCUGCAUUAGCUAGUUGGUAAGGUAACGGCUUACCAAGGCAACGAUGCAUAGCCGACCUGAGAGGGUGAUCGGCCACACUGGAACUGAGACACGGUCCAGACUCCUACGGGAGGCAGCAGUAGGGAAUAUUCCGCAAUGGGCGAAAGCCUGACGGAGCAACGCCGCGUGAGUGAUGAAGGUCUUCGGAUCGUAAAACUCUGUUAUUAGGGAAGAAAAGAUGUGUAAGUAAAUGUGCACAUCUUGACGGUACCUAAUCAGAAAGCAACGGCUAACUACGUG
rnacentral:rRNA from 1 species